ensembl:lncRNA
AUGUUCCUUAAGAGUAUGAGGCUUUCUGCAGAACAGGGGAAAUUCCACACAGAAUCAUGUGACCUACCAGAACGGUACCCGGCAAUUUUAUGGGCAUGCAGGGAAGUUCCUCAUUUAUGGUGCAUCACCAUAGAAACAUUCCACUUUGGCAACGAUGCUGUCACACGCAGACUGGAAAGCAACCAAGAACGAGAUCAAAUGCUACAGCACCUAAAUUCCACUGUCUCUGGAUAAAUUGGAACAUGUCGAGCUGUCUUCUGGCCUGGCAGGAGGGGGACGGCAUGCUAACUAUACCUGGGCUCUGAUUGGUGCAGCUUGUGUAAGCAUAUGACACUUUAAAUAGCAAUUUCUUGUUUCCAUGCACAAACAAGGCUAGAAAAAUGGCAGCUUUAUCUGUGAGUGUUUGCCAGUCAUAUCGUGCUUACUGCCAUUAGCAGGAAGUGGCCGACAUGUGGUAAACACUGGUUGAAUUGGUUGGGUGCAGUGGGUUCACACACACAUCUGUCCACACAACCAAGCCAAGUCCGUUUUCUAAAGACUACGUGUGAAAUCAAAUCCUUCUCCCAAUAUACAGUUCUCCACUGGGCUCGGUUGUUUUUAGCUUUUGGGAAGCAAGCACGACUGGAAGCAGGUUGCCGUAAAUAGACUCUGUAAAUGUGACUUGGCUCAUGCUCUAGACUGCAGAUUCCCUGCACAUUUGAAAGGAGCAGACAGGAGAAUACAAAUCUGUUUCUGUUGCUCUCACUUGUAAGUUGCUUUAGAUGAAAGCAUCUGCUAAAUGAAUGAAUCUUAUAUAGACUGUGUUUUUGUAUAAAGUUUCAAAUGAAAUGAGAAGAAUAGGCAAGACUACAAGAAAAAGUAAAACAUGGGUCUUUGGUGGAUGUAGUUAUUGGACACCAGCUAAAAAAAAAAAAACCUAACCCCAACAACAACAACAAAACACAAAAGUCCUGACUCAUAAUCAAAAUAACUGUGAUCAGAGGGAUUUUCUGUGUGAAAUGUGAAAUAUUGCUGACACACUGUAUAUGGCUAUAUCUGCUUGCUAAUGUCACUCGUGGAUCUUUUGUGUGCAUAUAUCAGCCACUUAUGAUCUCUUUGUUGCAGUGUGACUUUUGAUCUGACUCAAAGGUUUAUUCAGAAGUCAGCAAUAGACAUGUGACUUAAAACAGCAACAUUUUACGAAUGGGUAUGUCAGUUCAAUCAGUAGAAGUUGCCAUGCGAUUCUGGUUGUUUGUAGCAGGUUGACACCACCAUUUGCCAAUGUUUUGCCUGUAAUUCAGAGUUAUUUGGAAGUUUCCAACCUAUUUUUAUUUAGAGGUUUCCACCAUAAAAGUCGCACACUUUUUAGACAGCUAUUUGGUAGCCUAAAUAAUACCUGUUGAUACCAAAUAGCAAAAUUUUAAUAAAACAUGCCCCAAAUCAUUCA